rnacentral:rRNA from 1 species
GAUGAACGCUGGCGGCGUGCUUAACACAUGCAAGUCGAACGGAAAGGCCCAAGCUUGCUUGGGUACUCGAGUGGCGAACGGGUGAGUAACACGUGGGUGAUCUGCCCUGCACUUCGGGAUAAGCCUGGGAAACUGGGUCUAAUACCGGAUAGGACGAUGGUUUGGAUGCCAUUGUGGAAAGUUUUUUCGGUGUGGGAUGAGCUCGCGGCCUAUCAGCUUGUUGGUGGGGUAAUGGCCUACCAAGGCGUCGACGGGUAGCCGGCCUGAGAGGGUGUACGGCCACAUUGGGACUGGGAUACGGCCCAGACUCCUACGGGAGGCAGCAGUGGGGAAUAUUGCACAAUGGGCGCAGGCCUGAUGCAGCGACGCCGCGUGGGGGAUGACGGCCUUCGGGUUGUAAACUCCUUUCGCUAGGGACGAAGCGUUUUUGUGACGGUACCUGGAGAAGAAGCACCGGCUAACUACGUG